rnacentral:rRNA from 1 species
GACGAACGCUGGCGGCGUGCUUAACACAUGCAAGUCGAACGGAAAGGCCCUGCUUUUGUGGGGUGCUCGAGUGGCGAACGGGUGAGUAACACGUGAGUAACCUGCCCUUGACUUUGGGAUAACUUCAGGAAACUGGAGCUAAUACCGGAUAGGAGCUCCUGCUGCAUGGUGGGGGUUGGAAAGUUUCGGCGGUUGGGGAUGGACUCGCGGCUUAUCAGCUUGUUGGUGGGGUAGUGGCUUACCAAGGCUUUGACGGGUAGCCGGCCUGAGAGGGUGACCGGCCACAUUGGGACUGAGAUACGGCCCAGACUCCUACGGGAGGCGGCAGUGGGGAAUAUUGCACAAUGGGCGGAAGCCUGAUGCAGCAACGCCGCGUGCGGGAUGACGGCCUUCGGGUUGUAAACCGCUUUCGCCUGUGACGAAGCGUGAGUGACGGUAAUGGGUAAAGAAGCACCGGCUAACUACGUG